UAACUACAAGAGUCCAGAACAAGAUU
rnacentral:piRNA from 1 species